rnacentral:rRNA from 1 species
AGGACGAACGCUGGCGGCGUGCUUAACACAUGCAAGUCGAGCGGUAAGGCCUUUCGGGGUACACGAGCGGCGAACGGGUGAGUAACACGUGGGUGAUCUGCCCUGCACUCUGGGAUAAGCCUGGGAAACUGGGUCUAAUACCGGAUAUGACCUGCUCUCGCAGUGGGGGGUGGGUGGAAAGUAUUUA